rnacentral:rRNA from 1 species
CCUACGGGAGGCAGCAGUGGGGAAUAUUGCACAAUGGGGGAAACCCUGACGCAGCGACGCCGCGUGAAUGAUGAAGUCUUUCGGGUUGUAAAGUUCUUUCAGUAGGGAGGAAAAUGCCGAUACCUAACUACUAAGCUCCGGCUAAAUACGUGCCAGCAGCCGCGGUCAUACGUAGGGGGCGAGCGUUAUCCGGAAUAACUGGGCGUAACGGGAACGCAGGCGGCAGGGCAAGUAAGGUGUGAAAGUCCCGGGCUCAACCCGGGGAUUGCAUUUGAGACUUGCCGGCUAGAGUGCAGUAGAGGGAAGUGGAAUUCCUAGUGUAGCGGUGAAAUGCGUAGAGAUUAGGAGGAACACCGGAGGCGAAGGCGGCUUACUGGGCAGUAACUGACGCUGAGGUGCGAAAGCGUGGGGAGCAAACAGGAUUAGAUACCCCUGUAGUC